rnacentral:misc_RNA from 1 species
GAAAUGCGAUAAGUAAUGUGAAUUGCAGAAUUGAGUGAAUCAUCGAAUCUUUGAACGCACCUUGCGCUCCUUGGUAUUCCUUGGAGCAUGCCUGUUUGAGUAUCAUGAAAUCUUCAAAGUAAAUCUUUUGUUAACUCAAUUGGUUUCUACUUUGGUAUUGGAGGUCUUUGCAGCUUCACACCUGCUCCUCUUUGUUCAUUAGCUGGAUCUCAGUGUUAUGCUUGGUUCCACUCGGCGUGAUAAGUUAUCUAUCGCUGAGGACACUGUAAAAGGUGGCCAAGGUAAAUGCAGAUGAACCGCUUCUAAUAGUCCAUUGACUUGGACAAUACUUUUAUGAUCUGAUCUCAAAUCAGGUAGGACUACCCGCUGAACUUAAGC